UNNGGAGGNAGAUUUGGAUAUUUGUGGUAAUUCUAUAAUUAAUACAUACGCAACAGCGGCAUAUUAAAUGAAAGCAAGAAGUGUAAGCUUCUACUAAAGGAUUGUUUUUAUGCAUGGAUCACAUACAUGUAAGUGAGAGUCCUUAAAAGUUUCUGACCUAUCAGGUUUCGACGGUUAGGUAUUGGCUAACCGUGCCGUUUACGGGUAACGGGGGAUUAGGGUUUGAUUCCGGAGAAGGAGCAUGAGAGACGGCUACUACGUCUAAGGAAGGCAGCAGGCGCGUAAAUUACCAAUCCUCGGUACGGGGAGGUAGUAAAUAGAAAUAAUGACGCAGGAAUAUAUUUUCUGCGAUCGGAAUGAACAGCUCUUAAACACAGCUAUGAAAACUAUUGGAGGGCAAGUCUGGUGCCAGCAGCCGCGGUAAUUCCAGCUCCAAUGGCGUAUAUUAAAGUUGUUGCAGUUAAAAUGCUCGUAGUCGGCUCUUCACCUUUGAGUAUCCAUUGUGCUAUUGCCUGUGGUGCAUAGAAGGAGUUAGAAGUUGUCACCUUUGGUGGCUGGCUUUUAUUGUUACUUUGAGUGAAUCGUAGUGCUUCGCACAGGCAUAUGCCAUACACGAUCUACCAUGGAAUAUCCAUAAUCUGAAAGCGUUUGUUUUGGCUUCGCCGACGCUUUUUAUACAUAUAUGAACGGCUGAGGGUAUUUAUAUUCAACUGUUAGAGGUGAAAUUCUUUGAUUAGUUGAGGAUAAGCUAUUGCGAAAGCAUCUGCCAAAGACGUUUUGGUUGAUCAAGAACGAAAGUUAGUGAUCGAAGAUGAUUAGAUACCGUUGUAGUCCUAACUAUAACGAUGUUGCCUGAAUGUAGGACAGGUAUUANAUACUUCUUCUGGAUUCCAUGANAAAUCGUAAGGUUUGAAUUCUGGGGGGAGUAUAGUUGCANGGCCGAAACUUAAGNANUGACNGAAGGCACNCAAGCGCGAGCUUGNGCUAUUUGACUCANACUGNNAUCUANUGNUACANAAGGAUGANGAUGAUGCUNNNUGAUNNUGNNNNNNCAUGNNUCUANUNNGAAUAANNNUCUGGNNAUCGUA
rnacentral:rRNA from 1 species